rnacentral:rRNA from 1 species
UGCGUAGGCGGAAUGAUAAGUUAGUGGUGAAAGCCCCCGGCUCAACCGGGGAACUGCCAUUAAUACUGUCAUUCUUGAGCAUAGUUGAAGUGGGCGGAAUGUAUCAUGUAGCGGUGAAAUGCUUAGAUAUGAUACAGAACACCGAUAGCGUAGGCAGCUUGCUAAACUAUAACUGACGCUCAGGCACGAAAGCGUGGGGAGCAAACAGGAUUAGAUACCCUGGUAGUCC